UACGAAGGGGGCUAGCGUUGCUCGGAAUGACUGGGCGUAAAGGGCGCGUAGGCGGAUUGUACAGUCAGACGUGAAAUUCCUGGGCUCAACCUGGGGGCUGCGUUUGAUACGUAUAGUCUUGAGUGAGGAAGAGGGUUGUGGAAUUCCCAGUGUAGAGGUGAAAUUCGUAGAUAUUGGGAAGAACACCGGUGGCGAAGGCGGCAACCUGGUCCUUUACUGACGCUGAGGCGCGAAAGCGUGGGGAGCAAACAGGAUUAGAUACCCCGGUAGU
rnacentral:rRNA from 1 species